GCCUGGAUAGCUCAGUUGGUUAGAGUGUGGUGCUGGUAACACCAAAGUUGCAGGUUCGAUACCCGUAUAGGACA
rnacentral:tRNA from 1 species